CAUAAGUCGAGUGGGCCAGACGGCAUCCCCGCAGUGGUUCUGAAAACGUGCGCCCCUGAGCUGACGCCUGCGCUAACGCGUCUGUAUCGCCUCUCUUAUUGCGCUAACAGGGUUCCGUCUUCAUGGAAGACCGCCCACGUCCACCCUAUCCCCAAGAAGGGUGACCGGUCGGACCCAUCGAGCUAUAGGCCUAUCGCGAUAACUUCCUUGCUUUCCAAGGUGAUGGAGCGAAUAAUAAAUAUACAACUCCUGAAGUAUCUUGAAGAUCGCCAGCUGAUCAGUGACCGACAGUACGGUUUCCGUCACGGUCGCUCAGCUGGCGAUCUUCUCGUAUACCUUACUCACAGGUGGGCUGAAGCCUUGGAGAGCAAGGGCGAGGCUCUUGCUGUGAGCCUUGAUAUCGCGAAGGCCUUCGACAGGGUCUGGCAUAGGGCACUUCUGUCGAAGCUACCAUCUUACGGAAUCCCCGAGGGUCUCUGCAAGUGGAUCGCUAGCUUUUUGGAUGGGCGGAGCAUCAUGGUCGUUGUAGACGGUGACUGCUCUGAUACCAUGACCAUUAACGCUGGCGUUCCACAAGGUUCGGUGCUCUCCCCCACGCUUUUCAUCCUGUAUAUCAAUGACAUGCUGUCUAUUGAUGGCAUGCAUUGCUAUGCGGAUGACAGCACGGGGGAUGCGCGAUAUAUCGGCCAUCAGAGUCUCUCUCGGAGCGCGGUGCAAGAGAGACGAUCUAAACUUGUGUCUGAAGUGGAGAACUCUCUGAGGCGAGUCUCCGAAUGGGGUGAAUUGAACUUGGUUCAAUUCAACCCGAUAAAGACACAAGUUUGCGCGUUCACUGCGAAGAAGGACCCCUUUGUCAUGGCGCCGCAAUUCCAAGGAGUAUCCCUGCAACCUUCCGAGAGUAUUGGGAUACUUGGGGUCGAGAUUUCGAGCGAUGUCCAGUUUCGGAGUCAUCUGGAAGGCAAAGCCAAGUUGGCGUCCAAAAUGCUGGGAGUCCUCAACAGAGCGAAGCGGUACUUCACGCCUGGACAAAGGCUUUUGCUUUAUAAAGCACAAGUCCGGCCUCGCGUGGAGUGCUGCUCCCAUCUCUGGGCCGGGGCUCCCAAAUACCAGCUUCUUCCAUUUGACUCCAUACAGAGGAGGGCCGUUCGGAUUGUCGAUAAUCCCAUUCUCACGGAUCGUUUGGAGCCUCUGGGUCUGCGGAGGGACUUCGGUUCCCUCUGCAUUUUGUACCGUAUGUUCCAUGGGGAGUGCUCUGAGGAAUUGUUCGAGAUGAUACCGGCAUCUCGUUUUUACCAUCGCACCGCCCGCCACCGGAGUAGAGUUCAUCCAUACUACCUGGAGCCACUGCGGUCAUCCGCAGUGCGUUUCCAGAGGUCUUUUUUGCCACGUACCAUCCGGCUAUGGAAUGAGCUCCCCUCCACGGUGUUUCCCGAGCGCUAUGACAUGUCCUUCUUCAAACGAGGCUUGUGGAGAGUAUUAAACGGUAGGCAGCGGCUUGGCUCUGCCCCUGGCAUUGCUGAAGUCCAUGGGCGACGGUAACCACUCACCAUCAGGUGGGCCGUAUGCUCGUCUGCCUACAAGGGCAAUAAAAAAAAAAAAAAAAAAAAAAAACAUUCAUCGUAUUUACUCCACUGAUUAGACGUGAUUGUUGAAACUUCGAGUACCUAUUGUAUUUAAUGACAGUGCUUAAUAAGUACAGUAUCUAUUGAUCAUAUCAUAAUCUGUUCGUCUAUAUAAGACUUUAUGAAACAGAACUGCACAACCUAAGGACUUUUUUUUAUUUUAAAAUGUAAUAUUUAUGUAUCGUUUUAUUGCCCAACAAAAAAACAAUUUUCGCAUGCGCAUAUGCGUGCGUGGUUUUUGUGGAUGUAAUGCGGGAUUUACAUUACGAAAUUAGUGUCAUGCAUGUUGAGCUCAGUUUCACGAAAGUAGUUUCGAUAUAUGCGAAAGUAAUUUCGUCAAAAAAUUAGUGUCGCGAAAUCCACAGUAUCGCAGUAACCAUGGCGCCAUCACCAUCAAAGCUAAAUUCUAUGCUAUAUGCUAUAUUCAAUGUAGCUAAAGAAAUGCUUAUAUACCUAUAAACUUAAAAAAAAGACUAUCAAGAAAAAAAAGGUUGGUAGAUUCGAGGAUGGUCAACAAGAAGGCAUUUAGGUGCAAUGAAGUUAGUCUCUGAAUUAGCAGAUGAAGAUCCUGAGAGUUAUAAAAACUAUUAUCGAAUGAGUGAAUAUAAUUUUGCUUUUUUACUCUGCUACAAUAGAACGACGCGCCUUUGAGUUCAACGUCCGAAAUGUCACGCAUGAUGUUGGUACACCCAUAGAUAAUAAAAGUCUUAGAGGCAAAAACGGACCCAGAUGUAGUGUCAUUUUCUUUUACUACAAUUUACGAUUAAACGAAUGAUUUAAAUAAAAAUUAUAUUGUAAUAUAGGAUAGAGUUGUUCUUUUUUCUUGUUCAUAUAUCGAUAAAUUGGUUAACACUGAUUUAUGUAAUAAUUAUCGACAUUAGAUAUCGAAUACCCAACACUCGAUCUUUGUAAAUUGAAAGUAAAUUUAAUAUUUGUUGAUUAAUUAUAAUUGAUGUAAAAAAGGCAAUCAAAAUGGAAAAUCAAACGUUAUGCUUCCAAUGUCGACAUUUAUUCUGUGUGCACAUUACGUUGUCCUUGACCAUGGACGCGUCAUGUAAGUAUAGGCGGUAUAGGUACUAACCGUAAGUCUAUGGUGAAUACAGUUUUAAAAAACAUCUAGCGUAGAUCACCCACGACAAACUUGGCGCGUCUUUUAAAUACAUCAGGACGCUACACCGGGCGUAUCUGGAAACAAUACGGAGCGCGAAGUGUUUAUCAUAUAAAAAUUAACACAAAUUAGCGAAAGUUUAAAGUCGUCACUUGCGCUGAUAUGAAUACUAAUUAUAAAAUGUUCUUUUGUUGUUCCAAAUGUUCCAAAAUAUGAAAAUAUGACAUGGAAUGUAUAUUAUUUACGAAAUAAUUUAAUCGGAAUCAUCCACUACUCAUAAAAUAACAUAAAAGUUUUUAAUAUUGUUAGCUUAAAAACUCAAGUUUUUUUGUGUGCCUGGUUUAUUUGAUUGUAGAUAUGUAUACUGUCUAUGAUGGUAGCCUUACUGUAGAUUCUGUUUUUUUAGUAACAUAGUUUGAGUAAUGUAGUUAAUUACCAAUGUUAAUCAUAGAUCUUACUUGAAAUCACGUUUUUUUUUUUUUUGUUUAUAGUAUAAUAUAAAUUGGUCUCAACAUUGGGAUUUGUGUUUGCUAUAAAACAUCGCUGAAAUUUAAAACAUUUUGUCAUAUGAAAGUUUUUUUUUUUUAUCUGUACUUAGGAAGACAACGAUCUGUCUAAGCCCAGAAACGCUUUAAGAAUUAAUUGGCUAAAUUUAACGAAAACGCAUAAUAUUUUAUUAAAUGGUAUUUUUAUCAAUGCGGUCUCAUUAAAGACUUAAAAGGAAAUGAUAAUGGAACCAUUGUUUAUUAAUAAAUUGGUUGGCGUGUAUACCUAUUUAAGCUUUAAACAGACUGACGUAAAGCGAUGGAUUCUCAAAUUGAGUGUAGACAUUGAUUAAUUGUUUAAUAUAGGUAACAGUUAUGUCGACAUCUUUAAAGAAUACAUUUGAAAAAUAUACAUUCAAUCAAUCAGGCGGGUGCGUGUUAGUUACACUUGCCUACGCUUUAGAUUGCUCACUCCGUAAAUGUAAACCUGAAACUGCAUGAUAUAAGUACUUGCUUGACUAAGGAAAAUCAAAUUGUUAUCAAUAAAAAAAAAAAAUUGCUUGGAUGGGUGGACGAGCUCACAGCCCACUUGGUGUUAAGUGAUUACUGGAGCUCAUAGACAUCUAUAACUUAAAUGCGCCACCCACCUUGAGAUAUAAAUUCUAAGGUCUCAGUAUAAUCAGUCACAACGGCUGCCCCACCCUUCAAACCGAAACGCAUUACUGCUUCAUGGCAGAAAUAGGCGGGGUGGUGGUACCUAUCCGCAAGAGGUCCUACUACCCGCAUACAUGUGUUAUUAGUAGUAACUUUAUAUUUGGUAAAUCUGGAAUGUGGCGCGCAGUUUUUGAUCGGUGAAACCAGCCGUUAUACAAAACCAACAGGUCAUAUGUUACAACGUGGGCACGUUGUAAUGUCUACAGAAUCAUUUAGAACAGCCGUCCGUCUUACGUCUUUAGCAAACUAAGUUUCUCGCCGGAUCUUCUUAAUGGGGCGCGUUUCCGAUCCGGUGGUAGAUUCUGCGAAGCACUGCUCUUGCUAGGGUCAGUGUUAGCAUCACUCCGGUUUGAGCCCCGUGAGUUCACCUACUAGUUAAGGUUACGCUGAAAUAGCCUCUCAAGGCUAUCAGCUUAGGUAGAAAAAAAGUCUAUGGCGUAAAUUUAAUUUCUCUUUAUACGCAGUUGCUUGGGUGUGCCUAUGACAUUGUCGAUAUUCAUGAGCGACGGAAACCAGUCAUCAUCAGGUUGGCCGUCGGCUUGACAAUGGCAAUAAAAGAGAUAAUACAAAUCAUAAUUAUCAAUGUCUAUGCUCAUUUGUGUAAUCAAUAGGUAAAUAAAACAAAUUAAAUUAGGAUUCACUAAAUUUACGAUACUAAAGUGCACACUUAUGUUUUGUUUGAAACAAUUGUUUUAAGAUACUUAAAUAAAAUGCUAAAAAAAUAUUUAUCGAAAUCUUCUUUAUUCGAAUGUACAUAAAAUUCGGCAGUCUUCAUUAAUUUAACUUAACAAGUAACGCUUAGAAAAUAGUAAUUUAAAAAAAUAAUAAUUGAAACAAACUGUAACAUGCACGAUACAGUAGCUUUAAUAUGUACAAAUUUUAUUAAAUGUUUUAAAAUAUA